CGCGAUGAGCGGGCAAUAAUGCGCAUGCGCGGUAAAUGCCGCUCGCGCAUUAGACCUCCUUAUAGGAAAGCAUUGAAUCCGUGCUUUCCUAUGGAGAAAAAUCAGACGCUGGCUGUCCUCAUGCAGAGCGUGAGGACGUCCAGCAUCAGAUACCAGACCAAAGGUCCGUUUUGGUUCAGGAAGCCCUCUAGUGGCUGUAUGGUAGACAGCCUCUGUGGGCAGACUUAGAGCUGCAAUGUAAGCAUCUGGAACUCAAUGUUUUACAUUGCAGCACUAAGUGCAAUUGGGAUACUGCACCCAGACCUCUUCAAUGAGCUGAAGUGGUCUGGGUGCAUACAGUGUCUCUUUAAGCAAUAUACUUUACAUUAGCUGUAGUGGUUCUAGUGACUAUAGUGUCCUUUUUAAGAAUUAUAUUUUUGACAUUGAAAAAC